UCGAGGAUCUUCGGCAAUGGGCGCAAGCCUGACCGAGCGACGCCGCGUGUGCGAUGAAGGCCUUCGGGUUGUAAAGCACUGUCGAGGGGGAGUAAGCCGAAAGGUUGAACUAUCCCUGGAGGAAGCACGGGCUAAGUUCGUGCCAGCAGCCGCGGUAAGACGAACCGUGCGAACGUUGUUCGGAAUCACUGGGCUUAAAGGGCGCGUAGGCGGGUGUGCAAGUCUGUGGUGAAAGCCCCCAGCUUAACUGGGGAAGUGCCGUGGAUACUGCACAUCUUGAGGAGGGUAGGGGCAUCUGGAACGGUCGGUGGAGCGGUGAAAUGCGUUGAUAUCGACCGGAACCCCGGUGGCGAAGGCGAGGUGCUGGACCCUUUCUGACGCUGAGGCGCGAAAGCCAGGGGAGCGAACGG
rnacentral:rRNA from 1 species